UUGUUUAUUAAAACUGCCUUUCACCUUGUUUAUUUAUUCAUCAUCUUCUUAUGACUUGUGGUCAGAACAUUAUAUACGGUGACAUAGCUGUGGACUGAAGGUUCUAGAUUAACCAUUCAGAUUAUGUGAAAUUCUGAAUGCACAUUACAUUACUUGAAAUAUUUGAAAUAUCUAAAUUGUUCAAGUGUUAAUUGACAGUUAGCAAGACAACUUUAUAUAUGCAUCUGAUUUACAUGGAUAAUAAAUGAGUAAUUAAGCUAUCACUUGUACUACUUCCUAUUAUACAUUGAAUCAAUUCUAACUCUAUAACGAACCUAGGCUGGUUGUAAAGUGGAAAAUCAAUUGCACUGCUAUUCUUUUUUCAAUGAUUUGAUUAUCUCGAUCGUCUCCCUCAAGGUUGUGCAUAUGCCAUAUCAAUCACCUUUGGAACAUAUUUGGUGAAAAUAUUCAAUAGUUGACCAUUAGUAGUUAUGAAGAAUGUCACUCCCUAGAAAGAAUCAUUCUUACACAAUAAAAUGACAAUCAAUCUCUAGCUCUGUGUUUAGUCUGUUUGCGAUAGAUUGGAAUCAGAUGCAAUAUGUAACAUAUGAGCCAUAGCUUAAUAAAUUGUCUUCUGCAUUGGAUUUAGCAACAAUUUUCUUCUUGCUCUUCCAAGAUAUAAGAUUUGCUCACAUAAUCACAAAAUCCAGAAGUUGAUUGUUGAUCACGGGUGGAUCAGGUCCAAUCUACAUAUGUAUAUGCAACAACAUUAGUGUGAGUGUGUCUGUGGAGAUCCUAUGAUAUAUUUCAAGAUUAGAAUCACAAUGUCCUAAUGACCAUCAUGAGGCAAGUUGAGGAAUUGACUUACAACACUUACAAGUUACAAUAAAGGACGUCAGUCCAGUCAUAGUAAGAUUGCUCAAUUUCCCAACAAGUCUUCGAUAUCUAUCAUGAUUUGAAAAGGACUUCUCCUCAUUUGGCACAAGUUUAGUAUUUGAAUCUAUAGGUGUAUCAAUGGGCUUAUAUUCAAACGUCGCUGUUUCCUCCAAAAUAUCAAGUGGAUACUUCUUCAGAGAAAUAGAGAACCGACAUUACUACUACCAGUCUUUCAUUGAGCAACAUCAAUUGCAAGUAAACUUUUUUCGAUUAUCCAAGAGGUGACACAAAAUGUAACAUUCAUGCCAAGAGUACCUGAAAGUGCCAAAGAGCAGGUCAUCAGGUGAACUGACAAGUUUCUCAAUCAUUCCAUUCCCAACAAGGUUUUUAGCUUUUGAGUUUGUUCAUUAUUGAAACAUCCUACCCAUAUUUCUCCAAAGAUUUUUACACCAUGUGUGCUUGAGGCCUACACCCCUCAGUUUAUCACCACUCGGUGCAUGGUGGCUUACCUAUUGAGCUUCCAACAUUUUUCUCUUAUUUGUCUUGCUUGGUGGUUGUCAUUCGCUUGGCUUUUAGGAUUUGAAAGUUUGUUGGGCGUAUCAGUUCUCUCGUUUGGCUUCUGCUCUUGUUUGGUCACCAAUUCUACACCUUCUAUUUUUGAGUCCCAGAUCUUCCUUGCUAUCUCCAAGAACAAGCAGGUAUGGUUGAUGGUGGGUUUCAUGGAAUCACAUAACCAACACAUUUUGGUAGAGUCAUCUUCGUCCUAGGAAUCAAUUUUUGGGUCCUCCUUGCUUAGUCCAGAAGCCAAAAGAUGAAAGAUUGUCCUCUGCUCUUGAGAAAGAUCUUGACUAAUUGGGAUCACAUAAGAUAGUUCUUUACAUUUAAGUGAUAAGAAGUCCAAAUACUCUUAACAACUCACCAGUUUUUGACAUAUUUGGACUUGGCGUGGGGAAAAUAAGGUUGCUGGUCAUCAAGGUUUCUAUUUCUACUUCUAACAUGGUGGUGAUAAGGGAAACACCCAGAAAUUAGUGAACACACAGCAUUAAAGAAGGCUGUGCGUAUAAACUUGUGGAGAUGGAACUAUGUGGGGAUUAAGGCUCUGUUACUGCUAGCUUGUAGAAAAUAAGCUUGUAUGAUCAAAAUAGAGCUGUUUGGUAAUAGUUUUCUCUCAUGAGUUUAUAGCAUUUUUCUUGAUGCUACUUCAAGUAGCGUUUAAGCUUAUAAAAUAUAUGAUUUUCUCUCAUUUGUACCUUCAUUAUUAUCUUAAUUGAAAUGAUUUAAUUAUUAUUUAAAA